rnacentral:lncRNA from 1 species
AUGGGCAGUAAAAAAAUUAAGGACAAUCCAGAAAGAAAAAGCUCCAAGAAAAAGUACACUAGCACAAAAACAGAGGCCCCAGAGAAAACAGAGGCAGCUCAUGAAUUUGAAUGUUGGUCGCAGACUUCCAACACAGUUGUCAUGGAAGAACUAAACUAUGCGCCUUAUUUCUUUUCACAGAAAAAAACGUUUUGCAAUAACUCUCGAAGUCACAUAACAAUGCACAACGUGGGUAAUUUAACACUCAAUAUCACUAAUGGUAUGAUUGAUGUCAGGAAUAAUCAGUUUGACUUGAUUAAUAACCGGCAAUUCCCUUUCAUACGAAAUCACGAAACAAUAACUGACAAGCCCAGAACUGCAAUAGACAAUAAAGACUGUGACUCCACGCAAAGCAGCACUGAAAAUUUAGAGGAUCAGGAAGAACACGAAAAAGACUGUGAAAAUUUAGAGGAUCAGGAAGAACACGAAAAAGACUGUGAAAAUUUAAAGGAUCAGGAAGAACACGAAAAAGACUGUGAAAAUUUAGAGGAUCAGGAAGAAACGAAAAUUAAAAAAAACAAAAAAGACUGUGAAAAUUUAGAGGAUCAGGAAGAACACGAAAAAGACUGUGAAAAUUUAGAGAAUCAGGAAGAACACGAAAAAGACUGUGAAAAUUUAGAGGAUCAGGAAGAACACGAAAAAGACUGUGACUCCACGCAAAGCACCUCUGAAAACUCAGAGGUGCUUUCUGUGGAGGAAGAACACGAAAAAAACUGUGACUCCACGCAAAGCGCCUCUGAACACUCCGAGGAUGAGGAAAAAUACAGAUUUUCACUGGAAAUCUGUUUGGAACAGCUGGUUGAAAAGUUUGUAAAAAAAUCAGGCAUAGUCAUCAGUCCGGAAAGGAUUUUUGCCAUCUACAACAGGCUUACCAACAAAAUUUGGGCUGAAAUAAGGGGUGACAUUGAUAAAAUCCCCUUAAAGAAGUUAAAAAACUUCCACAAGGUCAUUUUCAAAGCCCUGUGUAAAAGGUGGAAAGAUCCAGAAUUAAUUCUGGAAAUCAUGGAAUCAGAUAUCCCAAGAUUCGACGAUAAAAUUGUUGACAUUUUCAUAGAGGAGGCAGCCAAACUAUCGAAGAAACCAGGUUGCAUACGUCGUUUUUUCUCAUUUAUAGGCCGACUGUUUUGUUGCACCAGGAGACAAAACAAGGUUGAUGUAAUGUAG